AUUAAAUCUCAGCCACUUAAACUCUCAACAAUAACUGCUGUGGUGGUAGUUCAGGGCAGUUGUGUACGCUCCCAUGGUUUGCGGCCUAUCUUCUCCACUACGCACGGUUACUAUGAAACUGGGAACGUGGGUAGACAGUUAAAUUACACUGCACUUAUAAAAACCCUCACCUUAUCUCGUGGUCUCCUCAUUCCGUAGAAACCGUCAUCCUUGUAUGAGAAUUUCAGGUGCAAUCGCCAAUCGAGGAAGUUUUUGGCAGUUCAAGGAUAUCCUCUCCAUUCCCCCAUCACAGUGGCAUCGGAUUCUCAAAAAGAAAAAAUCCAGUCCAAGUUCAGAGCUAUGGUUAGGGUUACACCACAGUUGAAAGUUAAAGGAAGGUGAUUGGAACCUUUGUAAUCAACCGAUUAAUGUAAAUCAUGGACCUUUCGAAGAUUGAAGAGAAUUUGUUCUCAUUUGGUGAACCAAAGAAUGUAAAUCGUCUCGUAUUUUGAGAACAUUUGAUGACGAAGCACAAGCAAUGAAGUCUGCUCGUAACUCAUCUCGAAUGUUGGAAGAAGCAACUGCAACUGGAACAACCAUCCUUGCUAAAUACACUGAACAAAGGGAUCACUUAAAGGUAGCCAGUUUUUCAAUUGUUGAACUGUAUUUAAUUUAAGCACUGAUGUGCUUUUUAUUUUAUUUGAUAAAGACCAGAUGUUGCACUUUUUGCUGUAGAUAUUUUCUUGCACCACAAAAUUUUUGCUCAGCUAUUCUAAUGUGGCCAGUAACUUAACCUAAUUGGCUAAUUGUUACCGUUUUUUAGAGUGUGUGUCGUGCAUAAUACUUAGUUGUUCAAAGUGUAAGGAAUUUUCUAUUAAAGAAUCUGCUCCAAAGAUAUCUUGUGGCAUGGAAAAUUUUUGUGGCCCUCAAUAAUCAAAUUCAGAUGAGCUUUGCGUCUAGAUAACCUUCACAAAGUGAAUCAUUUGCUGUUGCACCUGUAAUCUCAAGUGGUUUUGAUGUAUGUGAUGGCCCCACCUACUCGGGUCAAACACCAGUUAGAGGUACAUCUAAAAGACAAGCUACAUCCACCAAUUAGAUUGUUUACUCUACAUUAGAAGUGACAAAGGGUGGGUUACACGUUCGAGUCAAAAAUAGCUAAUUUAUUACAUGCCAAUGCGGGACGGGUAGAAUUGCAAGCACUUUCCGUAUUUUACUUUGUAGAUCUUUAUAAAUACUUAAUUCCAUAUAUGAUUAACUCUUGGGUUUAUAGUUGGACCAACCACUGAUUAAAGGGAUGUUUGGCAAGCAUCAAUGACCUUUGAGGGCUGAUGUUCCAUUUAUUUGCAAACCAGUUUUGUCAAAGAAAAGAUUAACAUUCUCCUCCAGAAUAUGUUUUACCGGAACAGAUGAAGAUCACACACAAGAAAUUUUUAUGUGCUUGUGGCAGUUUUAUAAUUUGACCAACAUGGGAUGUUCUUGCAGAACAUAAGUAUGAUGGUGAAGCACUUAUUAUGGUUGAUUUAGGUACGUCAAUCUCUCAUUUUUGCUUAAAUGUUUGUAACUUCACUUAGAAUAUGCAUCAGAGGUGGCAAAUGGAUGGGGUAGGCAACAAGGAAGUGGUUCAUAUAAAAAUGGGUAAUUUUAAGCAAACAAACAGAUAAAAAAAUUUUAGGGGAAAUUUUGAAAUAUUGUUAAUAGCUUGAAUAAUUUCAUAAAGGCCCUUUUAUAUUGGGGCCUAAGUAUGUCGUGUCGAGCAAAACAUGAAAAUUUAAGUUUGACGAUCAAAAUAUGAAGUUGACUUCUUAAAUAAACGUGUGGUUAGCUAAAUUCAAAGAUUUAUGUCCUAAACUGUAGUCUUGAAAUUGUCGGUACACGAUCAUAGCCCUAAAAGCUGAGGGGGCAUGUUAUCUUAUCAAGCUGAUCAUCAUUUCAAGUGGAAGAACAUUUGAUAUUAUAGCUUUAAAUACUCAAAAAUUACAGGCCAGUUAGAAACUUUCAACUUGUAUAUUUUACUAUGUGAAUAUUUCUACUAAAGCAGUUGUCAACUAAAGCUUUUAAUUUCGGAUUCUUCAAUUGGUGCUGAAUAACUUCAGUAAGGCAGUUGUCAAAAAAGCUUGAAUUGAGCACCAACUAUUGGUACUAAUCAAAACCAACUGAUUCUUUCUUUAUUUUUGUAAGUUUUUAUCACUACUUCAUUAUGUGACUUCUUUGAAUCCUUAGGCAUAUUGCUGCAUCAUUUCACCCAUUAUUCUGCACUCAAAGUUUGGAGCAAAUACAAGUAAAUGAAAAGAAUUUUUGCAUCAAAUGUUACUUAAAAUGGAGUGGUACAUUUUCCUUUCAAUGCUUUCAUCCUGUUGCUUAGAUUCUUCCUUUACAGAUUCAAGAAAAGCAGUUAUGUAAACUACUUCAUCAUGUUCCAAAUAUUUUAUUUCCCUCAUGAUUUAUAAUUUUACGAUCAAGUUCGACUUUUUGCCAAA